CAGCCGCCGCGGGAAUACGUAGGGUGCAAGCGUUAAUCGGAAUUACUGGGCGUAAAGCGUGCGCAGGCGGUUUUGUAAGUCUGUCGUGAAAUCCCCGGGCUCAACCUGGGAAUGGCGAUGGGGACUGCAAGGCUAGAAUCUGGCAGAGGGGGGUAGAAUUCCACGUGUAGCAGUGAAAUGCGUAGAUAUGUGGAGGAACACCGAUGGCGAAGGCAGCCCCCUGGGCUAAGAUCGACGCUCAUGCACGAAAGCGUGGGGAGCAAACAGGAUUAGAUACCCGUGUAGUCCCUGUCUCUUAUAC
rnacentral:rRNA from 1 species